AUCUCUUUCUUGGCCUUUUAUCCAAAAUCAAGCGUAAUAUCUAUUCUUGUCAAUUUUAUGCCAGACAUAUCUUCAGUUUGAGGACUUCAUGUUAAAUGGGUGUGGGAAAUGGAAGGUCAACUUGGAGCUUGCUCUGUGCCUUGACCUAGCAAUGCAGUUCCACUGGGAAGAGAGCU
ensembl:snRNA U2 U2 spliceosomal RNA